AGAUUACUACAGGCUGAUUGCACACAGAGAACAGUUAACUACCUUUCGCUUCCACACAGCAUUGCCAGAACUUUGUAUAGGGUGUAUGAGAUGGACAACUCAGUCUCUUUUCUCAACCCCUCUCCAAGUCAACCUCUCUCCUGGCCUUCCAUGUUUUCCAUUUAGCUACCAACCAAGGGAAGAUGAACUGCUUCACUGGAUUGUUGUAUGUCCAGUGA